rnacentral:lncRNA from 1 species
CUAUUUCACGGUCAAUACUACGUUGUAGCGGACUAACUGUACGCGGUUCCGGCAUUUGUGCAAUAGCAGAUCUAUCGUCCUGUUGUGUACAAAAGAGAGUUCAGUCAUAAACAUAUACAUUGUCAUUCCUCCAAUGAACUUACAAAUCCGUUCACCACUUUUAUCCACGCGCAGGAAGCAGUUGUCGGUAAUGCGUUUCAGUUUCCACAAUUCAAUAUUUGGUGGCGUUGCGCCAUCCGCACACGUUUUCUCCGCAUCACUCUUUUCUGGUGGCGUUUUUUGAACAUCAGUUGUACGAGGCAAGCAGGGUAAAUCUACUUCGUAAUUAUUAGUUUGGGUAUUAAAAUUGAUAACAAAAUUUUUCAUGUCUUUGGUGUCGAAUUGGCGCUCCGGCAAAUGGAAUCUACAAAAUAGUGUAACUAAGUAGAUGCUCUUUUAAUAUUAAUAAAAAGUGUGUACCGGUA